rnacentral:rRNA from 1 species
AUUGAACGCUGGCGGCAGGCCUAACACAUGCAAGUCGAACGAGUGGCGGACGGGUGAGUAAUGUCUGGGAAACUGCCUGAUGGAGGGGGAUAACUACUGGAAACGGUAGCUAAUACCGCAUACCAUCAGAUGUGCCCAGAUGGGAUUAGCUGGUGGGUGGGGUAACGGCUCACCAAGGGGACGAUCCCUAGCUGGUCUGAGAGGAUGACCAGCCACACGGGAACGAGGACACGGUCCAGACUCCUACGGAGGGCAGCAGUGGGGAAUAUUGCAAAAGGGGGGCAAGCCUGAUGCAGCCAUGCCGGGUGUAUGAAGAAGGCCUUCGGGUUGUAAAGUACUUUCAGCGGGGAGGCGUUACCCGCAGAAGAAGCACCGGCUAACUCCGUGCCAGCAGCCGCGGUAAUUC